CAACAGCACGCCUCCUGAGAAGACAAAGCACGUUUGAUGAGAGAAAGCUGCCACCAGAGACCACAGCCUGGCUGAACGGAGUGGGCGCUUCCCACUUGUUCAAUGUCACUUCAAAUAUUGUUUGAGGAUACCCAACAUGGCUGGAUGGAGCUGCCAGCUUGGGAAGAAGUCAUCCCGUGAACCCGGAUGUUGGAUGGAUGUAGCAACCAUCUGAGGUAAUUAUACUGGAGUUUCAGGGUGGUGUGGUUGGGGCUACAAGAAGCUUGGUAAGCUCUCCCUCGGGGCUUCGUGGAAUCCUGUGGCCCUGGACAGGCUUGUCCGCCUUGAGGAAGUGAGGAAAACACGGGAAGCUUCCAUCUCCAGUGUUUCCCUAGUCUCAGGUCUGGGCCUGGGGAGCUCUGCUGGGACGUAUCCUUUUGAGCUUGCGUUGUCGGUGAAGCGUGACUUCUUGGAGAUGACCAGCGCCCUCAAUUUCCUUUGGGAGAUACAUUAAAAUCUUCGAAGCAACUGCUGUUUAUCACUACAAGUGAUUCUGAGGGAUCUAACCCAUUGAUGGUAAGUGUUACACACAGAAGAGGAAUCUAGUUGGGAUAUAACCAGAAAGGCGCUGGGCUUAGAGUCCAGAGACCCGGGUUUGAAUCCUACCUCUUCCAUUUACUAAGAGAGCUAUCGGCAUGUUUUCUUUAGUCCUCUGGUUAGCAGGUUGAGUUUAACAUACUUCAGGGCGUAGUAAGACCAUCAUCCGUCUGCAGACCCUCAUCUAGGACCACUCUCUGGUUCAUAUCCUAGGCCGUGUCUGUAUCAAGACCUGCAUCCCCUGGGUAACCUCCAUUUCCAUGUGCCACCAUCUGCUGGCCACAUCCUAUUUUUUUUUUUUUUAAGAUUCUAUGUCUUUAUUUCAGAGAGGGCAAGGAAGAGAACACAAAGAGAGAGGGAGAAGCAAACUCCCUGCUGAGCAGGGAGCCCAAUGUGGGACUCAAUCCCAGGACCUCUGGAUCAUGACCUG
rnacentral:lncRNA from 12 species